GUGAGGAAUAUUGGUCAAUGGGCGGGAGCCUGAACCAGCCAAGUCGCGUGAAGGAAGAAGGAUCUAUGGUUCGUAAACUUCUUUUGCAGGGGAAUAAAGUGCAGGACGUGUCCUGUUUUGUAUGUACCCUGAGAAUAAGGAUCGGCUAACUCCGUGCCAGCAGCCGCGGUAAUACGGAGGAUCCGAGCGUUAUCCGGAUUUAUUGGGUUUAACGGGUGCGUAGGUGGUUUGAUAAGUCAGCGGUGAAAGUUUGCAGCUUAACUGUAAAAAUGCCGUUGAAACUGUCGGACUUGAGUGUAAAUGAGGUAGGCGGAAUGCGUGGUGUAGCGGUGAAAUGCAUAGAUAUCACGCAGAACUCCGAUUGCGAAGGCAGCUUACUAAGCUACAACUGACACUGAAGCACGAAAGCGUGGGGAUCAAACAGGAUUAGAAACCCGAGUAGUCC
rnacentral:rRNA from 1 species